GUCCCUUCGGGACAUCCGAUAAAAUUGGAACGAUACAAAGAAGAUUAGCAUGGUCCCUGCGCAAAGAUGACCCAGCACAAAUCGAGAAAUGGUGUUAGUAUUA
rfam:Nicotiana attenuata strain TT chromosome 2, whole genome shotgun sequence.